rnacentral:rRNA from 1 species
AAAGGGUUUCAUAUCUAAGGGUUGUGAUAGGNAACCCAUUUGGGCGAGAGUAGUACUAGGAUGGGUGACCUCCUGGGAAGUCCUCGUGAAAGGGUUUC